GGUCGGCCUUGGCAUCCUCUUGAGGAACGUUCCUGCGCUUGAUUGCGUGGGGCGGUAUUCAAGACUUUUACUUUGAGGAAAUUAGAGUGUUCACGGCAGGCAAGCGCCUUGAAUACAUUAGCAUGGAAUAAUAAUAUAGGAUCUUGGUUCUAUUUGUUGGUUUCUAGGGCUAAGGUAAUGAUUAAUAGGGAUAAUUGGGGGCAUUUGUAUUAACGCGUCAGAGGUGGAAUUCUUGGAUUGCGUUACGACAAACUACUGCGAAAGCAUUUGCCAAGGAUGUUUUCAUUGAUCAAGAACGAAAGUAUGGGGAUCGAAGAUGAUUAGAUACCGUCGUAGUCUAUACCAUAAACUAUGCCGACUAGGGAUUGGAGGUCGUUCUUUUUAUGACUCCUUCAGCACCUUAUGAGAAAUCAAAGUCUUUGGGUUCCGGGGGGAGUAUAGUCGCAAGGCUGAAACUUAAAGGAAUUGACGGAAGGGCACCACCAGGAGUGGAGCCUGCGGCUUAAUUUGACUCAACACGGGGAAACUCACCAGGUCCAGACAUAGUAAGGAUUGACAGAUUGAUAGCUCUUUCUUGAUUCUAUGGGUGGGGGUGCAUGGCCGGUCUUAGUUGGUGGAGUGAUUUGCCUGGUUUAUUUCGAUAACGAAC
rnacentral:rRNA from 1 species